rnacentral:lncRNA from 1 species
AUUUCCUACUAUAGGAGGCAGACUCCAAAAUGACCCCAAUGACCUUGCUUUCUGGGUGUUCAUGCCCUUGUAUAAUCCCUUCCCACUGAGUGAGGGCUGAAUGACAGAUUUCCAACAACCAGAAUACAACAAAAGUAAUGGAAUGCCACUUCUCAGAUUAGUUGAAAAAAAAAGACUGUGAUUUGUGCCUCUUUUGUCCUCUUGCUCUCUCUCUCUCAGCCCUCACUAUUGGGAAGCAAGUUGCCAUCUUAUGAGCAGGGAGAGGCCCACAUCCCAAGGAGCUGAUGUUUCUGGCCAACAGCCAGUGAGGACCUGAGGCCUGCCAGGUCACAUGAGGGAGCCUGGAAGUGGGUCUUCUCAGUCCUGCCAACAGCUGUGAGUGAGCAUGGACGCAGAUCCUCUCCCAGUGGAGCAUUUGGAUGACCACGGCUCUGGCUAACACCUCACUUACAGCCUUGGGAGAGAUUCUGAGUCAGAGGCAUCCAGCUAAAUUGACCCACAGACACGGUCCCGGUUUAUGACUGCAAAACAAUGGUUUAAACAGUAUUCAUUCUGGAACAUCACUCAAUUUCACUAAUACUAGAUCCCAAACACUCUGAUAUCAGAAUGUUCUUCCCUAUUCGGGCUAGUUUAUAAAGUUCAUUUGAGAGUAUUCUGAAAUUAAAUAAAACAAACCUAAAACAGUAAGACUGCAUAUUGGAAAAUGAUACUGUGUAUAAUUUUUGAGACAUCUAGCAAUCAGAUGACUAUGCCACCAUUUCAUUCUUUAAUCUCAGCAUUUUGGGAGGCCGAGGUGGGCAGAUCAUGAGGUCAGGAGAUCCAGACUGUCCUCGCUAACACGGUGAAACCCCAUCUCCACUAAAAAUACAAAAAAUUAGCCGGGUGUGGUGGCAGGCACCUGUAGUCCCAGCUACUAGGGAGGCUGAAGCAGGAGAAUGGCAUGAACCCAGGAGGCGGAGAUUGCAGUGAGCUCCCGCGCCACUGCACUCCAGCCUGGGUGACAGAGCGAGA